CUUCACUUCCAGCAGAGAGGACACAACUUCAGGCUGAAUUAGGCCAUUUGGAGAGGUUUACCAAAAUCUCCAUGGGUUACAGACACAAGACUUUUCUCUCACACUGGUCUGGACUGAGCACUUGUUGUAGAUGUUGGAACUCAAUUUAUCCAGAAGCUGGGGACGACCUGAACUGGCUCCAGCCAUUCUGAAAGAGAGAAGAAGCAGCACAACUGCCCUCUAACAAAAAUGGUACAUUCAAGGGGAAGCUUGAGGAUUCAGCACAGGCAGCGUUAGCCCCAGAGGCUGACAAGGCGGUUGAAUGUAUGCACACAAGCUGCUCUCCCCAAGCCGGCGGGCUCUGCCAACACCUGAGAAGUGAAAACCUGUCUGCG